GGGCCCGUAGCUCAAUGGUGAGAGCGGCGGACUCAUAAUCCGUUGGUUGCAGGUUCGAGUCCUGCCGGGCCCA
rnacentral:tRNA from 2 species